rnacentral:rRNA from 1 species
AAUACGUUCCCGGGCCUUGUACACACCGCCCGUCACACCACGAAAGUCGGCAACACCCGAAGCCGGUGGCCUAACCCGUAAAGGGAGGAGCCGUCGAAGGUGGGGUCGGUGAUUGGGGUG